GAAGGAAGGGUCGCAGUGAAGUGGGAUGAAUACUGGGAGAGCUAAGGGCAGGAAGUGCUGGCAGGGAAGAAAGAGUUGUGUCAAGUAUGUUAGACAGGUCAAGCAAGUGCAACACUGAAGAUCGCGCCUUGGAUAACCAGCAGGAGGAAACACCAAAGAAGGAAUAAUUGUUGGCCCAGGAGUUAGAGCCACUGAGAAAUGAGAGAUGGCUGCAACAGGGAGGGGAGCCAGGUGGGAUAGUCUGACAACCUGAGAUUCAAAUUUGGAUGCUUUAAUGAAGGAAGAAGGAGCUCCUGGUCUCCAUGGAAGAUUAUACAGGUUAUACCCUGUAUACCCUAGAAAGUGCUGUCCACAUCAUGGUUUCUGGGAAAGAGAAUCGCCUGUAGGCUUCACUGAGACAUAAGGGACAAACUUCUUCAAUCCCAAGCCCACAGAUAUGUAGGCUGUACACAUGUUUUAAUUAUUUCAGCCAUAGAAGAAGAAUGCUUUGGCCUGCUUAAAAUUGUGUGGCUUUACUCUCCCUUGAAGGAACCAAUGCAGGAAAGAAAAUGCAGAGAAUCACCACACAUGCACACACCUGCGUCCAAAUGGAAAUUAGUUCUUCUAACUUUUAAAUUCAUUAAAGUAGGGUCCUCAAGUGUCAAAGAAUAUCACAAAAUCCUGCCAGUGAAGAAACACAAGCAAGUGCCGCAGUUUUUGCCAUGUGCUCUUUAAUCUAAAAAGUCCAA
rnacentral:lncRNA from 1 species